rnacentral:sRNA from 1 species
AGCUGGACGGGGUCGACGGCGCGGGUCACGACGAGGUAAUCGCGCAUCACGAUCCCGUGACGGUUCUC